rnacentral:lncRNA from 1 species
AUGGCGAGGGGCUGCAGCCGGCAUUGCUGCCCAGCUGCCUCCUGCUGCAGCCUUCCCCGGCACCUUGGCCGCCUGGUGGCCCCCUUGGGGGUCGCGCACCCCCCAGGGAACCCUGGCUCCUGGCAUCAGGCCAACCUUGCCUUCCUCAGUGGGUUCGCCACGUGCCAUCUGCCUCUGGGGAGAGAGCACUUGGACUCCCGAGAUCACACGGGCAGGGCUGGGCCGGGAGGCCCUGCAGCCUGUUCCAGGUGCUUCCUGCCCCGUGGGCAGCAGUGUCCAUGCCUGCAGAGUGGCGCCAGGCAGUGCCAGGCAGGAGGCAGGCCUGUGGCCCGGGGAGUUGACUUCCUGGCCCCGCCCCUGAGCAGGGGCACAGGGCCUGCUGGGCUGCCUGGCUCCUACAGUCCUGCUAGAGCAGGAUCCAGGCCCCCCUCACUGGGCACUUCCGUGUGCAGGACAGGAGCAGGGUCCAGCCCCCCCACUCGCCACUUCCAUGUGCAGGACUGGAGCAGGGUCCAGCCCCCCCCGCACUGGCCACUUCCAUGUGCAGGACAGGAGCAGGGUCCAGCCCCCACACUGGCCACUUCCAUGUGCAGGACAGGUGCAGGAUCCAGGCCCCCCGCACUGGGCACUUCCAUGUACAGGACUGGAGCAGGGUCCAGCCCCCCCCCCGCACUGGCCACUUCCAUGUGCAGGACAGGAACAGGGUCCCGGCCCCCCCACUGGUCACUUCCAUGUGCAGGACAGGAACAGGGUCCCGCCCCCCCGCACUGGCCACUUCCAUGUGCAGUGCUCCCUGCAGGAGGGCUGCAGUUGUGGGCAAGUGGAGUGGAGUAUGUGUCCCGGAGGCAGCGACGUGCCCCAGGCCCUGGCACCUGCUCCAGAACUCGGGCAGGCUCGAGUCCUGCGUGGUCCCAAGGAGGCCCAGGACAGGGAGUUACACCAUGCUGGCGCACUGGCCCUCACUGGAGAGAACGAGGCUCACCGCAAAGCCCAGGUGCGUGCGCCAGAAGUCACAGCUUCACACCGGCGGACGCUCACUGGUAGCUGCCACCCCUGGCACUUGACCUGUGGGCAAGAGCCGGUGCCCGGGGUGGAAGGAGGGAUGGCCCUUACCACCAGCUCCGGCGUCCCCCCCCGAGCUCCUGCCCACCCGUCCUGUCCCAGCAGUCACGGGUGCCACCGCCCACUUCCGUGCCUGUCGGCCCGUCUGUCUGCACUGCCCCUGUGGGGGACCCCGCCACUGUGCAAGGGCCAGGCACCCACAGGUGUGCCGGGAGGGGUGAGGAGGGAGCCCAGAGCCUUCUGGUCCCUCUCGUCUUACAGACGGGAAGGCUGUGGUGCGGGCGGGUCAGGGCUGGCCCGAGGACGCUGCAAAGUGGGGCAGCGUCGGGAGCGGCCGGCCAGGCGAGCGACCUGAACUCUGCCUUGCUUGGAUCUCAGGUGGGGAGCUGGGUUCCGGCAGGCUCCCAGAGCUGCAGGUACAGGCCAGUUUCAGGCCGGUGUGGGGGACAUCCUGAGGUCACGCUGUGUCCUGCAGCCUGCCCUGACCACAGCUCGGGUGUCUGUGAGGGCAGCAGGCAUGGGGGCGGGGCGCUGCUCCCCACAGAGGGGCUCUGGGGCAGCAGGACCCUGUCCCCAGCUGUCUCCUUGCUGCAUGGGCCCCGAACAGGAUUGAGUCAGACCUGAGGUCAGAGGGGCUUGACCAGCAGGGUCCCUGCCCUGAGGUUCAGCUCAGAGCCCUCUCACUGCCCGUCCCCCCUGACUCACUUCUUGGUCCCUGUCCACCUGCGCCCAUGUGGACCCCUCUGGGGUGCAGCCUUGCUGGGUCCCAGCCUCGGCUCCCCUCUGCCUGUGGUCUCUGCCCUUUGUCCACGGCCUUGCAGCUGCACAUCCCAGCACACCCAGCCCAAGCCUGUCGCUGGCUCUGAGCGCCUGCUCGUUGGGUCCUGGGCCUGGCCUCCUGGACAGCUGCUCACCGAGCCGGGGGCCCCAGGUGUGUGCAGUUCAGUGUGGCCGACGCGGCGAUGCUGUCCUUGUCACAGGC